rnacentral:rRNA from 1 species
UGACGCCGCGUGCGGGACGGAGCCCUUCGGGGUGUAAACCGCUUUUCCCAGGGGCGAGAUAGGACGGUACCUGGGGAAUAAGCCUCGGCUAAACUACGUGC